CGGAGCGUAGCGCAGCCUGGUAGCGCACUUGCAUGGGGUGCAAGGGGUCGGAGGUUCGAAUCCUCUCGCUCCGACCA
rnacentral:tRNA from 1 species